rnacentral:lncRNA from 1 species
CGAAUUGUUUGGAAAAUUACUUCGGAUGGUGACUUUACCACCAAAUCAGCAUGGCAACUAGUCCGUUCGGUUCGCCAGCCUCAGGACUCAUAUCGAUUGCUAUGGAGCUCUAUCUUGCCUGCCACUAUUUCAUUCUUCUGCUGGAGACUGUGGCAGGAUCUCAUUCCAGUAGAUGUUGUUAUUCAGAGGAGAAUUGGAUGUCAGUUGGCUUCUCGUUGUCAGUGUUGUUCCGAAAUUGAGACCAUCAAUCAUAUUUUCACGAGCAACAGCAUCUCCGACCAGGUAUGGCAGUACUUUGGAGACAUCUUUUAGAUACCUAUGACUUCAGGGGAGGGGGUCAGACAGAGGUUCCAGAGAUGGCGGUAUUCUGGACAGCACGUUUACCGUGGACACAUUCGUAUUAUCAUUCCUCUACUGAUAUUUUGGUUUCUAUGGACUGAGAGGAAUGAUGCGAAGCAUAGAGGUAUUCGUAUGGUGGCCAGACAUAUUAUUUGGAGGGUCUACCGCAUGAUCUCCUUUCUUCAUAUGGGAGGACUAUUCCGAGUUGAGCAUUGGCGAGGAGAUGUGACACUUGCACCUUUUUUUGGCAUUUCUUUGACCCGUCCUCUCCCACCACUACCUAUUAUGGUUGUUUGGCGCACUCCACCAGUUGGAUCCUACAAGAUCAACACUGAUGGAUGCGUCAAAGAUGGAUUUGCAAGUGAUGGAGGCAUCAUUAGGUACCACACAGGAUACUGUAUCAGGGUAUUCUCAGCAUCGUAUGGCCCAUGUUUCAUUUUGGAGGCUGAACUCAGAGCCAUACUAGAUGGGCUUCUAUUGGCCAGAGGACUUGGGAUUUUAGCUAUCUGGCUCGAGGCAGAUUCAACAUUGGCUAUUCACUGCAUUACCAAAGGUGGAGGACCAUGGUCGAUUCAGGGUAUUCUUAGACAGAUCAGAGACCUCAUCUACUUCGAUAGAGACACGGUUUCACACAUCUACAGAGAAGGCAACCAGGUUGCUGAUUCUCUUGCUACAGAAGGCUGGAAUCAUCGGCGCUAUCUAGAGUAUGGACCACUAGAACUGACUCGACAUAUUAGGGCGAUAGUGCGGAUCGACAGACAUGGAUUGCCCAGUUUCAGAAGUUCGUAAUUUAGGCUAUUCUUUAUUGUAUAGGGAAGUAGUACUUCCUCAUUUAUUGCUUUCAUUUAUUAUAUUCAUUUGUUGCAUCACUGCUUUUUGGAGGUCAGGUUCAUGCCCCCCUCUUUCCGUGUAUUCUUGAUUUUUAUGAAAUAAAUAUGGUUGGGGAACCCUUAACCCCCAUCGACCUUCCUUGGUG